AUAUUGUGGUUUCUUUUCAGAGUGUAUAAAUUUAUCGCUUUUUACUGAAGAUUUCCGUAAAGAGAAACAGUUUUGAGAGUUUGCCUUAUUUUUUGAGGUUGCGUAUUUUAGCCGGGGU